CCUUAAGCAAUGAUUCAUGAAUCUGUGGUGAAAGGACGGUCUCACAUGAAAGUUUAGCAAUCUCAUGGAAUGCUUGAAUCGAGUUAAUUCUUGAGUUGGGACUCGAUGCUGUGCAACUGCUGUGCAACUCAUGGUUGUAAAAAAAAAAACUAAUUCAGGAAGCUAUUAGAUUAUAUAUCCAGAAAAAACAGUUCUCUACAUCACACAUAUACUGCAGAAACAUUUAGGAAAAGCCAGUUCCACCAGUUCAGUUGUGCUUGGCUGAAUACCACCAUGUUGUCUAUGCCAGAGUUUCGUCAAAAUCUAUGUGCCUAAAUCCUUUGCCUAGAGAAUGAGGAAACCAAAGUUCUAACCAGAGAGGAAUAGUGAGGAAAGCACAAAAAUGGCUAUGAGCUAUGAUGCAACUCAUAAUCCAGCAUCGUAUGCAACUUUAAUACAUUUCUACUUACUGUUAACAAUGGCAGUGUGGUCUUGCAGCCAAGAAGCAUAAUGUAGCUGCAAUAGAUAAGGGCUCAGAUAUUGGUCAGAUCCGAUCAGCCAGGUACUUCACCAGUGAGUUGACAGGCUUAGCAGUAUCAACACCUUCAAUUCCCCUGCACCUAAUCUUAAUCCGAGCAAGGUAAUCAGCUGCGAUCCAAGCAAAGCUCAACAUUGCUGCAUUGACAGCAGCAUCAGGCUCUUGCAACUCCAUUGACUUUUUUAUCCAUUUGGGAUGGUAAGCAACCUGGUACCAUGCU
rnacentral:misc_RNA from 1 species